UACGAAGGGGGCUAGCGUUGCUCGGAAUCACUGGGCGUAAAGCGCACGUAGGCGGCUUGUUAAGUCAGGGGUGAAAUCCUGGAGCUCAACUCCAGAACUGCCUUUGAUACUGGCGAGCUUGAGUUCGGGAGAGGUGAGUGGAACUGCGAGUGUAGAGGUGAAAUUCGUAGAUAUUCGCAAGAACACCAGUGGCGAAGGCGGCUCACUGGCCCGUAACUGACGCUGAGGUGCGAAAGCGUGGGGAGCAAACAGG
rnacentral:rRNA from 1 species